UCCUACGGGAGGCAGCAGUGGGGAAUAUUGGACAAUGGGCGCAAGCCUGAUCCAGCCAUGCCGCGUGAGUGAUGAAGGUCUUAGGAUUGUAAAGCUCUUUCACCGAUGAAGAUAAUGACGGUAGUCGGAGAAGAAGCCCCGGCUAACUUCGUGCCAGCAGCCGCGGUAAUACGAAGGGGGCUAGCGUUGUUCGGAAUUACUGGGCGUAAAGCGCACGUAGGCGGAUAUUUAAGUCAGGGGUGAAAUCCCGCAGCUCAACUGCGGAACUGCCUUUGAUACUGGGUAUCUUGAGUAUGGAAGAGGUGAGUGGAAUUCCGAGUGUAGAGGUGAAAUUCGUAGAUAUUCGGAGGAACACCAGUGGCGAAGGCGGCUCACUGGUCCAUUACUGACGCUGAGGUGCGAAAGCGCGGGGAGCAAACAGGAUUAGAUACCCUGGUAG
rnacentral:rRNA from 1 species